AAGCGCUUAUGACCAGACUUGGGCUUGGUUGAUCAUCCGGCGUUCUCGCCGGUGCACUCUUCCGGUUCAGGCCAGCAUCAGUUUGCUUCGGGGGAUAAAGGCUUUGGGAAUGUGGCUCCCUCGGGAGUGUUAUAGCCCAUUGUGUAAUACCCUGGAGCGGACUGAGGUACGCGUUCUGCAAGGAUGCUGGCGUAAUGGUCAUCAGUGA
rnacentral:rRNA from 1 species